AGGCUUAACACAUGCAAGUCGAGGGGCAGUCGGGAGUAGCAAUACUGCCGGCGACCGGCGCAAGGGUGCGUACGCGUGAGCAACAUGCCCGUAUCAGGGGGAUAAUCCAUGGAAACGUGGUCUAAUACCCCAUAGUAAUUAUGUAAGGCAUCUUAUAUAAUUUAAAGCUUUGGUGGAUACGGAUUGGCUCGCGUGACAUUAGCUGGAUGGUAAGGUAACGGCUUACCAUGGCUACGAUGUCUAGGGGUUCUGAGAGGAAGGUCCCCCACACUGGAACUGAGACACGGUCCAGACUCCUACGGGAGGCAGCAGUGAGGAAUAUUGGACAAUGGAUGGAAAUCUGAUCCAGCCAUGCCGCGUGCCAGGAAGACGGCCCUAUGGGUUGUAAACUGCUUUUGUAUGGGAGCAAUAAGGGCUACGUGUAGUCCGAUGAGAGUACCAUACGAAUAAGCACCGGCUAACUCCGUGCCAGCCGCCGC
rnacentral:rRNA from 1 species